CUCCCAAGACAUGAGCGAAGCCCUAUACGCCGACCCGUACCGUUUCAAUACUUCCGAGACUUACGCCAAACCAUACGUCAAGUCCGGUUCCAAACCGUGUACUUACGCCGAACCGAACAAGGCAGAUUACGCGGAACCUUACAAGCCUAAGGAAGGGAAUCAUGCUGCAAUUGGAAGUGAAUCGGAAGGAGGUUAUGCUGCAAUAGGUCAUUCGGAAGGAGGUUAUGCUGCAAUAGGUAACUCUGAAGGAGAUUAUGCUGCAAUUGGUAACUCUGAAAGAAGGUAUGCUGCAAUAGGUAACUCUGAAGGAGGUUAUGCUGCAAUUGGUAACUCUGAUGGAGGUUAUGCUGAAAUUGGAGCUAAAUCGGAAGUAAAUUAUGCUGAAAUUCGUGUAAAUAAU